GAGUUUGAUCCUGGCUCAGGUAUGAACGCGAGUCGGCGUGCCUAACACAUGCAAGUCGUAUGGGGCAGAAGCCCCAUGGCGAACGGGUGAGUAACACGUGGGCACCUGCCCCCAGAUGGGGUAUAAGGGAGGGAAACCUCCGGUAAACCCCCAUGGGCGCAACAAGUGCCUGGGAAAAGCCUUAUGGGCUGUCUGGGGAUGGGCCUGCGGCUGAUUAGCUAGUUGGUGAGGGUAAUAGCCUACCAAGGCGAGGAUCAGUAGCUGGCCUGAGAGGGCGGCCAGCCACAUUGGGACUGAGACACGGCCCAGACUCCUACGGGAGGCAGCAGUGGGGAAUCUUCUGCAAUGGGCGCAAGCCUGACAGAGCGACGCCGCGUGAAGGACUAAGGCCAUAUUGGCCGUAAACUUCUUUGCACGGGCACAGGAAGACUGACCGCCUGGGAAGCAAGCAUCGGCUAACUCCGUGCCAGCAGCCGCGGUAAUACGGGGGAUGCAAGCGUUAUCCGGAUUUACUGGGCGUAAAGCGUCUGUAGGUGGUUCGGUGUGUCUGUUGUCGAAACGCAGGGCUUAACCCUGUGGGGCAUUUGGAUACU
rnacentral:rRNA from 1 species